CGGUGAACAGGAAGUUGUUGAGUGAUGAAUCUGAAAACGCAUCAAGCGGUAUAGCUGACUAAUAUAAACCCUGGAACCAAAUUUCAGAAAUCCUAGUUCUAUAGUUCCUGAGAAAAAUGCGACAAAAAAUAUUCAUGGGACGGACGGACUGACGGAAGGAUGGAUGGAUGGACAGACAGGUAAAACAGUAUACCCCCCCACCCUUUUUUUAAAGCCGGGGUAUAAUAAAAUAAACAACAAAAUAAUUGAAUUUUUAAACUUUAUUAUUGUAUCUCAGUCAGAAUGAGCAAGGAAUAUACAGACCACAAUAUCAACACACUGAGAUCCACAUAUGAUUAUCUCCCCUUAGAAUGAGACAGAUUAUUGGUUAAAACAUAACAAGUUAAAAGGUCAUAGAUAUAGAGUAAUGUUACUGGUCCAUGCUUAUACAGAAAAUAAAAUUGGACAAUACAUACAGAAAUGCAAUGAGAAAUGAUAAUUAAAAUUGUACUACUUAUCUAAUAUUUGGGAUAAGCUGUGUGUUGCAAAUACUGAUUCAGGAAAAACAAAAUUCCAAGUUUAUAUGUUUUGAUUUUCGCUUGUGUGUCAAUAACUAACUUCAGUACUAAACUGCAGCUUGUAAAAAUUGACAGAUAUUUGUCAGGAUUCAAACUUACUAAUCAAAUUUCAUUCCUAUGAUUGCAUUAUUUUCAAUAUUAUAGUAAGCAGCAUAUGGAAACAAUUUAUCUACACAAAUACAUUUUCCACAUUUGCAAUGAAAAAGAAACUACUAUUGCACAAUUCAAAGUUACAUCGUUUCAAAACAGAAAUCUCUUAAAAACAAAUCAAAUUCAAGUUGAAUUUAUAUAAAAAGACCAUAAAAACAGCAUUACUUCAUUUUGUACUACACUUAUUUGUCUUUAUAUAUUUUUUUUUUACUUUAUGGAGGAAACCCCAAGUUUAGGGACUUUAAAUAAUAACUAAUAACUGGUAUCUGUCGUUUUCAUAAAUAUAUCCUUUGCUACUAAGCAAUGCAGAUUAUUCAAAUUCCAUUAUCAGCUUUACAAAUAGUUUUUUUGUGAUACUUUUACCAUUGAUCAAUCUUAUAAUUUCAAAUACCCUCCCUUUACCAAUGUCUAUCCUCUUAAAUAACAUACAGGAGUAUAAUGCAGUUUACAUUUGUAAAGUAGCUGACAAGUAAAAUAAUUGAAAAACUAAUUGUCAUAAGUGCAGAAAAAUUUUAAAUUUUAAUGCAAACAUAUAUUUGCUAUACAUUAAAAUAUGAAAGUCUUCAUAAACAACAUUACCGUUAUCUGAGAUAAAAAUUACAUACACAAUGGUACUUUCAUCAGAAAAUCAUUCAAAAUCAUACAUUAUGUACUAAUAUCUUACAAGACAAUUACUAAAGCACCAUGUACUCUGAAGGUUACAGUAUAUUUAUUCUUGAAUAUUAUAUCAUUGUGGAUACACUACAUUAAGUUCAAAAUUUUUAAUUCUUCAUUAACCUGCACAUAAAUGUCCCCUUCAAAUAAUGUUAGUGACAGCAUAAAACGGGCGAGUAUUGAAUACAUGUUUGCCUCAACACCUUUAAAGGGUUUUUCAUUUUUCCACAGAAGUCGAUCAUAUAUCAUGUUAACUUGGGGGAAAGAAUAUUAAACAGUGUAAUUUUCCCAAAAUAAUUGUUUGUGAGAAAUUCAAAUCAAAUCUAACCACAAUUCAAUAUUGAAAACGGCAUUUUAGAAAGGUAAUUAACAUGAAAUAGCAUUUAAAUCUUAGUUUUAAUUAUAUUGUACCAUUUGUUAUUAAACAAUCUUAAUUUACAAUUAAAAUUAAAUCAGCAUUCAACUUUAAUUGAAUUUAGUCACUAAGUGCAACACAGUCCAGGAAUAAAUGUACAGUUCCUAUCUCAAUCACAGAAAAGAAUGUAUUUGGCCUUAUAAUAAAUGAAAACAUAUAAGCCAGUUAUCAAAGAGCUAAAAGAUCUCUGAAGCUGGCAGACUUUGAAGCACCAUUUAUACAUUCAAGCUUGCUAUCAAUAAAACGUAUGAAUGACUUUGAAUCAAUGCAUGGAAAUGCUUAAAAUUCAAAUGCAAUAGAUGAUUUUGAAAUAUUUACAAAAUGAAAUGUUUAAUGAGUCAAAAAUAUGAAUAUAAGAGAAAUUCAAUAAAUAUAUUAUGCAAAUAUCACAUGAUUUUUUA
rnacentral:lncRNA from 1 species